rnacentral:rRNA from 1 species
GACAGAGGGUGCAAACGUUGUUCGGAUUCACUGGGCGUAAAGGGUGCGUAGGUGGCCUGAAAAGUUUGAUGUGAAAGCUCAGGGCUUAACCCUGAAAUGGCAUUGAAUACUGUCGGGCUGGAGGUUUGGAGGGGGGACUGGAAUUCUUGGUGUAGCAGUGAAAUGCGUAGAUAUCAAGAGGAACACCAGUGGCGAAGGCGAGUCCCUGGACAACACCUGACACUGAGGCACGAAAGCUAGGGGAGCAAACAGG